rnacentral:lncRNA from 1 species
AGCCAGGAUGCCCAGGGGUUGUGCAACCAGGUGAUUUACAUUCUUAUAUUCAUGAUAUAGCCCACUCAACCAUGUACUUUAUCUUCCAUUGCAUCCUCAUUCGAGUGGCACAGCAUUGGUUUCAAUGGCACAAUAUUAAAUCAGGUCAAAUUACAGACAUGAAAUUUUAAGAUAGAGACCAUGCCAACAUAUGGACUAAACCAGAUUUUCCCACCAAUAUCCCCAAAGCAUAUGAAUUGACAAACAAAUUUCCUCACAAAUAUCACACAAGAUAUCAAGCUGAUUAUUCGCUGGUUCCAACACCAGGAAGAUGCAAGUUCAUGUCAA